CUCGAGCAAAGUGAACGGGUUGACGAGCUCGGCGGCGGCGGCGGCGGCGGCAGGCAAGACGUCGUCUUCAUCGCUGAGAAGAGAAAGUGGCAGUGGCUUGGCGACAGUUUCUCGGUCACGCUGCUUUGUUCCGAGCGAGCCGGCUGGCGUGGGGUCGUCGGUUGUGGGGCCUCGGACAACCGUCUCGAUCAAGUCAUCCUCGUCGUCGCGGAGGUCUUCGUUUGAAGGGAAGCCGAGAUCUUCCAAGCACGGCGGCGGCAGCAGUAGCAAAGUGAGCAGCAGCAGGGAUUAAAGGAAGGAGAGAGUGACGAACAAAGAGAAGGCGAAGGUAAAGACCCGGCAGCAAUGGACACAGCCGGGAGAGAACGAACAGGACGUGAAGAACACGAUGAGAGAAAGGACUAUGAGGAAGGCGAUCGCGCGAGUGGUACUUAAGAAAGUCACAACGAGCAAGGCUGCGAGGAGGGAGAGAAGGAAGGAAAGCAAGGCAAGGAGGUAGUAGUACAUUGAGUUUCAAGCUUGAGAAAACGAGGAAGAGGAAGAAGGUUAGCCUAUAGAGGAAGAAAGAGGACACUCCAUCGUUUCUUCUUCUUGCUUUUGUAUAGUUGUUUUAUUUUUUUCCUUUGUUCCAUUGGAUGAGACGUCCACGGCUCGAGUCACGUCGUUGGCUUCUUUCUCGUUUUUAAAUCUUUGGGAGGAUUUAGGGGUUUUGGCGCACAGGGAAUGAGCGCGGCGGAGGGAUGGGGUAUGGAUUCUUGCCGGCUUCGAUCGGUUCUCUUUCGACCGCGAGCUACAUUCACGAUCGCUGCACUGGCGAUCUUACAGAGAUUAUCGAGGUAUUCAGUGCGUCUUUCCAGGGAAAUAUUUCCUGCCGCUUGUGCGAGUAAGCAUUCCCCGAGAGUCAAUCAAUGCGCAGAUUUAGUGCCUGCUAUUCAUUUCCGCGGAUUUCUGUCCACGAGAUCUUCGGUAUGGUGGCUCUUAUGGAGAGCAUUCCCUUUAUAGCGCUCAUUGUAAUUGAGGAAUGACUCUAUCAAACGGCAAUUCAUCUCAAAUCCCCGGGACUUCGUCACGGAAUUCUACUCACGUGGACUAUAGCAAAGACUCGCGGUGAAGGACUUCUACUCGUUUUGUCUGCGUGAACCAAAGCUGGAUAUGGCCAGAGGAAUCAGGCUCUCCACAGCUGAUCCGGGCUCUCGAAGUUGGUUUUACGUCAGAUCUCAGGAACAGGAGCGUACAACUGUGUAUUCUUCGGCUCGGAGACAACGAGACACUCGGCAAGAUGCCAGUCGGAGGACGGAAUUUUUUUGAAGUGGUUUCACACGGUUCAACGUCAUCACAAACAGCUAGCGGCUGAAACGGACAAGGGCUAGUACAGCUUUUGCCAGUUAGAACUGGGAGGAAUGCAAGUAGGCUGUGGAAAAAGUUGGCUAUCUUUAUGGGGCCCCGAUCUAGUGCCGCUGAGAUUGCUCGACGAUAUGACGCUAUGUUUUGCUCUCAAACUGCUCUCAUGCCAGUGUCUAAGCCGAGAGAGAGGCAGCGACGAGAAGAAUUCUCACUUUGAUAACACGAUCCAUAUCUUUGGCACUUGUCGAUGUCGAAGCACACAGGUCCAAUAUGUCCUUAGAGGCAUUGCGUUCUGAUUUGGAUGCUGGGUGCGAUUCGCAAUACGGCCUCAACAAGAUCUCUUCCUCGAGAUUUGUUUUCAAUCGUCUUGGAAAUGAAACAACGGCCAUGUGACUAUGCUUCCUUGGAACUCGUUUAAAUAGUAACACAAUAGCACCCUUCCUUGAUCCUGGAGACAGGAACUAUUGGUAAUCAUUUUCUUAUGUUUGAUUGAUUUGUAGUGGCAGCUUCAAGACGAACACCAAGCAGCGUCCUAUCUGCCAGAAGGUCUUGCUUCGUUCUGGCUCUACAACAUAAUCUUUUCCAGAUCCUUGGUUUGUCGUCGGGAGAGAAGAAUCACUAAAGCUAAAGAUCACGUAAAUCUGCCUGCCAAACAAGCAAGCGUCAAGAAUGUGAUCCAGAGAAGGAAAAAGAAGAUGGCAGAAGCCCAAGCCCAUUUCCGGGGUCCACCUAGUUCUCCUC